rnacentral:rRNA from 1 species
GACGAACGCUGGAGGCGUGCUUAACACAUGCAAGUCGAACGAUGAAAUGGAGCUUGCUCCAUGGAUUAGUGGCGAACGGGUGAGUAACACGUGAAUAACCUGCCCUUAAUUUUGGAAUAACCAAGGGAAACCUGGGCUAAUACCGGAUAAGUAAACCUGUGGCAUCACAUGGUUUUGGAAAGUUUUUCGAUUAAGGAUGGAUUCGCGGCCUAUCAGCUUGUUGGUGAGGUAAUGGCUCACCAAGGCGACGGCGGGUAGCCGGCCUGAGAGGGGGAACGGCCACACUGGGACUGAGACACGGCCCAGACUCCUACGGGAGGCAGCAGUGGGGAAUAUCGCGCAAUGGACGAAAGUCUGACGCAGCGACGCCUCGUGAGGGACGAAGGUCUUCGGAUUGUAAACCUCUUUCAGCAGGGACGAAGCGAAAGUGGCGGUACCUGCAGAAGAAGCACCGGCUAACUAUGUGCCAGCCGCCGCGGUAA